rfam:Arabis alpina cultivar Pajares Aa.chr8_contig_514, whole genome shotgun sequence.
GAAAAUGAGGAAAAAUUAAACUCAAAUGUGAUUAAUGAUCCUUAAAUUUUGCUUAUUGAUAUUCUGAUUCCA